GAGAAACGGGUUUGCUCGCCCCCAUAAAUCUUAGCUUUUUAUCAAAAUAAAAUAAGUUAUGUUUUCAAAUAUUUGUAUUUCAUUUCUUCCUAACAUUAAAAAUUAAUAAUUAAGUUAAAAAGAAUAUUUAACAUAAAUUACUCCUACAUUUAUUUAGAAAAGUAAAUAAGCAAAACUACGAAAUAUCUAAAUGUAGAUUGGACGAACAGGGUUACGGGUGAGAAUAUAUCAGACUAACUAUAAGAGAUCUUUGACCUAUCCUACAAAAAAAAAUUAAAUAAAA
rnacentral:lncRNA from 1 species